GGGGAAUAUUGGGCAAUGGGGGAAACCCUGACCCAGCAACGCCGCGUGAGUGAAGAAGGCCUUCGGGUUGUAAAGCUCUGUCAUUAGGGAAGAAGAAAGUGACGGUACCUAAUGAGGAAGCCCCGGCUAACUACGUGCCAGCAGCCGCGGUAAUACGUAGGGGGCGAGCGUUGUCCGGAAUUACUGAGCGUAAAGGGUGCGUAGGUGGCUUAUUAAGUUGGAUGUGAAAUACCCGGGCUUAACCCGGGGGGUGCAUUCAAAACUGGUAGGCUAGAGUGCAGGAGAGGAAAGCGGAAUUCCUAGUGUGGCGGUGAAAUGCGUAGAUAGUAGGAGGAACACCAGUGGCGAAGGCGGCUUUCUGGACUGUAACUGACACUGAGGCACGAAAGCGUGGGGAGCAAAC
rnacentral:rRNA from 1 species